UUAAAUUGAAGAGUUUGAUCAUGGCUCAGAUUGAACGCUGGCGGCAGGCCUAACACAUGCAAGUCGAACGGUAACAGGAAGCAGCUUGCUGCUUUGCUGACGAGUGGCGGACGGGUGAGUAAUGUCUGGGAAACUGCCUGAUGGAGGGGGAUAACUACUGGAAACGGUAAGCUAAUACCGAUAACGUCGCAAGACCAAAGAGGGGGAC
rnacentral:rRNA from 1 species